UACGAAGGGGGCUAGCGUUGUUCGGAAUUACUGGGCGUAAAGCGUGCGCAGGCGGUUCGUUGUGUCUGAUGUGAAAGCCCCGGGCUCAACCUGGGAACGGCAUUGGAAACUGGCGAGCUAGAGUGUGGCAGAGGGGGGUGGAAUUCCGCGUGUAGCAGUGAAAUGCGUAGAGAUGCGGAGGAACACCGAUGGCGAAGGCAGCCCCCUGGGCUGACACUGACGUUCAGGCACGAAAGCGUGGGGAGCAAACAGG
rnacentral:rRNA from 1 species